UGAGGUAUUUUUGUAAGCGCCA
rnacentral:miRNA from 1 species